UCUUCGGAGAGUUUGAUCCUGGCUCAGGACGAACGCUGGCGGCGUGCCUAAUACAUGCAAGUCGAGCGAAUCGAUGGGAGCUUGCUCCCUGAGAUUAGCGGCGGACGGGUGAGUAACACGUGGGCAACCUGCCUAUAAGACUGGGAUAACUUCGGGAAACCGGAGCUAAUACCGGAUACGUUCUUUUCUCGCAUGAGAGAAGAUGGAAAGACGGUUUACGCUGUCACUUAUAGAUGGGCCCGCGGCGCAUUAGCUAGUUGGUGAGGUAAUGGCUCACCAAGGCGACGAUGCGUAGCCGACCUGA
rnacentral:rRNA from 1 species